UCACGUGCUACAAUGGCAUAUACAAUGAGAUGCAAUAUCGUGAGAUGGAGCAAAUCUAUAAAAUAUGUCCCAGUUCGGAUUGCUCUCUGCAACUCGAGAGCAUGAAGCC
rnacentral:rRNA from 1 species